rnacentral:lncRNA from 1 species
AAUUCAAAAUGAAAAUGGCCUAAGAAGACCUUCAAGGACAUGAGGUCCCAUGCACACCAACCAAAUUUGACUUUCUUCCUUCAAUAAACAAUUCAAUGCAUAGUCUUCUUGUCCCAUGUGCUUCAUUCUCCAAGGAAAUAAGCAUGUGCCUUAACCAAACUAUAAAAUCAUGUUCUCUCUCCAACCAUGCAGCAAAGAACGUAACUCACACACACCAAGACUCCAAAUUGCCGAGCCACACAAUUCUUGGAUGCAAAGAAUGCUUCUAAAAACUCCACAAGUCAAAAAGGUGCUCAACUUCUUCUACCAUUGUGCCACAUAAGCAAGGUCAAAUGUAAGAAAGCAAACACAAAAUAUUCUCCACCACAAGGUAAGUCUCGGCAAUUGCAAGCAAAGAGACAAAGAUUAAAAUGGAAAUCCUCCUAGAAUGAAAAUAAGCAUCUUUUUUGUUUGCCCAAAAGUGGUAAAAACUUAAAUGCACUCCUUUCUCUUCCUUUCCUUGUCCCAAUCGUUCUUCUCACCCCAACACACAUCAUUCAACAUUUUCUUCUUCCUCCCACCGAAAACACACACCCAAGAAACCCCAUUUCAAGUAGCAACUCCAUUCAAGACAAUAAACCCACACUAUUACUACUUCAACUCAACCCAAUCUUCCAUUUCUUCAAGCUCUUGUGUAAAAACGAAAAUAAAACCUGAACCAUCAACUCCAGCUCUGUCCAGCCACCAUAACAACACAAAAAUCUGGUCCAUUCCUUUUUUUAAACAUCAAAAAUGAAAACCAAGAAGAAAGGGUCCAAACCACAACACCACACAUCAACUUAAGCUCUCUUCAACCCAAAACUCACAUAGAACUCCAUUUUUAUCAUCCAACCAAAUGAAAUGCAAGGAAAAAUGAGCAGAACAGCAGCAAAUGAAAAGGAAAACGAAAAUAUAAAGUUACUCAAACCCAACUAUCACCAUGGAAAUGCAAAGACAAGCUCCAAAGCUCAAGCUUCAAACAUCAAGAAAAAGCAAAUGGAAGUAGAAAUGAAUUAUUUUUCACCAUCAAUAAGCUAAGAAAAACAAGAGCAAGUUAAGAGAAGAAGAAAAAUAUGGUCUUGGUCAUUCCAUAGCUCCAAAAACAUAAAACCCU